rnacentral:rRNA from 1 species
AUACGUAGGUGGCGAGCGUUGUCCGGAAUUACUGGGCGUAAAGGAUGCGUAGGUGGAUACUUAAGUGGGAUGUGAAAUCCCCGGGCUCAACCCGGGAACUGCAUUCCAAACUGGGUAUCUAGAGUGCAGGAGAGGAAAGCGGAAUUCCUAGUGUAGCGGUGAAAUGCGUAGAUAUUAGGAGGAACACCAGUGGCGAAGGCGGCUUUCUGGACUGUAACUGACCCUGAGGCAUGAAAGCGUGGGUAGCAAACAGGAUUAGAUACCCUGGUAGUCCACGCCGUAAACGAUGGGUACUAGGUGUAGGAGGUAUCGACCCCUUCUGUGCCGUCGUUAACACAAUAAGUACCCCGCCUGGGGAGUACGGUCGCAAGGCUAAAACUCAAAGGAAUUGACGGGG